AAAGUCGUAACAAGGUCUCCGUUGGUGAACCAGCGGAGGGAUCAUUACUGAGUUACAAACUCCAAACCCUUCUGUGGACCCCUAAACCGUUGCCUCGGCGGGCUCGCCCGCCGGUGGCCCCAAACCCAAAACUCUCACGCAACGUACUUCUGAGUGGCGCAGACUAUAAAUAUGUCAAAACUUUCAGCAACGGAUCUCUUGGCUCUG
rnacentral:misc_RNA from 1 species